ensembl:lncRNA
UUUGGCAGGCGGAUUUUCUGCUAGGGGGUUUACAGGUGAGAACAGAUAUUCCAUAUGCAGUAGCAAGAACAAAAUAGAGAGGGUGCUUUCAGUUUAGCUGCCAGUGCUCAGAAAACACUUCUGAAAACAUCACAGCUCAGCAUUGCCAUCAUUCUUGAAUGAGGAGCUGGAGAGGGUGGGGAGAGGGAGCUUGUUUCCAAAUGAUUUACCAAGGCAAGGAGAGAGUGUAAAUUGCAAAAAUAAAAUACUUCAAGGUCAUAUUUUGUCAUAUGUAUACACCAGUCUUCAUUUUAAUAUCCAGUGCAGUCCUCAAAGGAAUUUCUGAUGAAAUUCUACUUUCACCAUUUAAAAGCCUUAUAUUUUUAUCUCACAUCUCUAUAGUUGAAAAAACUGAAGUGUUAGGAGGUUAUGUCAAUUACUGGUCAAUUUGUGGGGCACCAGGUCUCAAACUUGGCUCCUUUCACUUCACCCAGCAUUCUGGGAAGCUUGUGGAAGGGCAUCUGGCCAGGGACAGUGGGCAGAACAAAUUACACGACAUUUGAUAAGAACAAAGAAUCCCCCCAAACUGACUCAAUGCAUAUUAAAGUGAACUCAACCAAUAUAUAUUUGGUAUCUACAUUGCCUUGGACUUCAAGGAGCCUACAGACUAGUAGGGGAGGAAGUGAACACAUUUUUACACAGAUAACCACACAGUUACACUUGCAAAGAACCAGAGUUUGGGAAAUGUGGUUCAAGGUUAUAUCUUUUGUGGGUUUUGUUUUUUUUUUUUUUUUUGUUUAUCGCUGAGCUUGGGUGGUUAAAGGUGUGUCACGGAGAAUCUAUAAACGAUAGUUCUGCAUUGAUCAGUUACUCUCAGCAGUCUUUUGUCUGUUUUUGUGUAUCACUAUCGGCAUAUAAUGUAACAAUUAGAGAAACGAGCGGCUCUUUAACUUCAGCAUACUUUCCAGAGAGCAUUCAAUGUACAGUGCUUUUCCUUACUAUAAGAAUCUUAACAGGGAAGGCAGACGGUGGGAUGAGCUGAGAGAGAGCAGCAUGGCCAUGUAUACACUACCAUGUGUGAGACAGACAGCUAGUGGGGAGCUGCUGUACAACACAGGGGGCUCAGCUCUGUGAUGACCGAGAGGGCUGGGGUGGAGGGGUGGCAGGGAGGGUCAACAGGGAGGGGAUCUAUGUAUACUUAGAGCUGAUUCGUGCUGCAAAGCAGAAACGAACGUAACACUGUAAAGCAAUUAUACUUCAAUUUUAAAUAAAUUUUUAAAAUAUUUAAAAAACGGGAUAUAGUGAAAUAAAAAGAAUCUUAAAAUACUCGAGGGACAAUGCCUGUCCUCAUCUGUAGUGUACGCNNNNNNNNNNNNNNNNNNNNNNNNNNNNNNNNNNNNNNNNNNNNNNNNNNNNNNNNNNNNNNNNNNNNNNNNNNNNNNNNNNNNNNNNNNNNNNNNNNNAUAAAAAGAAUCUUAAAAUACUCGAGAGACAAUGCCUGUCCUCAUCUGUAGUGUACGCUCUCUGUGCCAACCUCUGCUCUAGGAUGCUCUGAUGGGUUACGACUCAUUUAAUCUUCACACUGGUCCCCAGAGGCUUGUGCUAUAUGACCUCCUUUUACAGAUGAGGAGACUGGGACUCAAAGGGUUAAAGUGAUUUGCUGAAGUUUUCUAGGUAAGAGGUGGUAGAGCUGGGAUUCAAACCUGGCAGACUGGUUCCAGUCUGUAUGAUUUAUGUAUGAUUUCUGUCUAAAGAGGGACAUUAUUUAAAAUAAUUUUUAAACAUCUGAAAUCACUUUUGGCAUAAUUAUAAAUAGCUGAACCCAACNNCUAGAAAAGAAAAAGAGGAAAAGAGCCUAGAAAAAAGCACUCUUUUAAAAGUAUACAAUGAAAGGCAAAGUCAAUUCUUGCUUUAAAAACACCUAUUACAAGGAUUUUUACCACUGUCAACAUUUUAUUAUUAAAUAUAAGAAAAUAAUUACCACAACAUUCACGAAGACAUAAAAAUGAACUUUGUCCCUUAAGGAGAAUGGUAGAAGUAUUCAGAAGAAAAUAUUCUUUUCCUAGAAAUGGCAGCCAGCCAAUAAAUCACCAAGUCAUACAUGUCAGCUUUCAUUUCUUUUCCUAGAACUUAACGCAUGAAGAUUUAGUAAAACUUACAAAUGGUUCAAUAAGGAUGAGGAAAGCUUGUUAAAAGCCACUUUACUAAAACUUAAAAUGCCUAUAUGACAAAACAAAUCAUAAAAGGGCAAAAAAGAGUUAUAAAUAGGGAGCAAAUAUUCACAACAUUUAAUACUUAGUAAAUGAAAUAUUGUUAACCAGAAAUUACAAACAACUUCUAAAAGUCAAUAGGAAAAGUGAAAGUCACUCAGUUGCGUCCAACUCUUUGUAACCCCGCAGACUGUAUCCAUGGAAUUCUCCAGGUGAGAAUACUGGAGUGGGUAGCUGUUCCCUUC